UACAGAGGGUGCGAGCGUUAAUCGGAUUUACUGGGCGUAAAGGGCGCGUAGGCGGUGAGAUGUGUGUGAUGUGAAAGCCCCGGGCUUAACCUGGGAAGUGCAUCGCAAACUAUCUGACUAGAGUAUAUGAGAGGGUGGCGGAAUUUCCGGUGUAGCGGUGAAAUGCGUAGAUAUCGGAAGGAACGUCAAUGGCGAAGGCAGCCACCUGGCAUAAUACUGACGCUGAGGCGCGAAAGCGUGGGGAGCGAACAGG
rnacentral:rRNA from 1 species